ensembl:lncRNA
AUAGAAACCACCUAGUAGACGAGCCUCGGCGUUCUCAAAAAGAAGACUACAAAUCCCAGCGCGCUCACUUCCGGCUCGGUCGCGUCACAGCCAAUCAGAAGCGCCCUGGAUUCAUGGCAGCUCUCCGGGGCGCCGGGCCAACACGUCUAGCCAGCUCGAAGUGCCACGACUUCACAGCGGACCACGGAUCCUCCAGCGGAGCGAGGGGAACAGCGUCGGGAGAGAGAAAAGAAGAAGGAGGAAAAAAAGAAGAAGCUAGUUAGCUGGAUAAAUAGAUCGCCUUUACGCAGAAGUAAUUUCACUUAACAGUCACGAGUCAACGCGGCUUUCCACUCCUCUCUCUCCAUUCCACAGAAGCGAGCCGACAUCACCGCCACGGUAAGUGUGGAAGUUCUGGAAUUUUUCUAUUUAUUUGAGCCAGUUUUAGCUAGCUUGGGAAGCUACCGAUCGCUAACUCCUUGGGCUACCAACUAAUACGGAGAGACAAGCCGUCAAAGUUAUCUGAACUUAUCUUGGAAUUCCCCCCCUCCCUCACUGUUUAAUUUGCCAUGUUUCAAUGGCUAUUGAGGCGCAGUUUAAUAACGUAAAGCGACACUAUUGUGCAGGACCGUAGCCAAGUUCAUUGAUUCAUAUCGUUAGCUCCAAUGCUAGCUUAUAAGUAAUGUUCCAAGCAGUUCCCUUAGAAAAAUAACCGGAAUGCACACACUUUUUUAUUAAUUUAAUAUGUUCCUAUGGAUUACCACGUAGUGUGUCUCAUUAGCCGUAGAAAUGUUUUUUAGUUGUCGUCACACUUUUGGAAUUCCAGCAUUAAUCAGUCUGAUACUCAUUACUAAUAUAUAAAUUAGCUGGGACGCUAGUAGAAGUCGAUUGGUUUAAUAUGCAUUAAAGUAAUUUAUCCAAGUCUGAAUUUUUUUGUUUCAAUUUGCAAGUAUAAUCACAUGCGUUAAGUAUGCUGAAAUAACCAAACACCAUUACCGUCUUGAAAGAAAAGAUGGAUUUUUCUUUUCCACGAACUCACGUUAAUGCAGCAAAAGUUCGAUAUGUUCGUGUGUAAUGGUUACAAACCAUUACGAACAAACGUAAUCUCAUAGUUCGUCUCUCACGGAGCCAGAGAUGCAUUUUUCAUCUUCGGAAAGUCACUACAAAUCGUUUUUACUGGAAGUCGUAAUUCUCAGCCAAGGCUGACGCGUGACGUCACAGAUAAGGAGGCAGUACAAACCUUUUUUUUUCCUUCGCUUGAAGCGAUUUGACUCUGCAACGAACACGGACUCUGGACUCAGCAGUUUUUACCACGUCACACUGUUCGAUUUAAAAAAAUAAAAAAAUUCAGUAA